GCAUGGCCGAAUUCUGCAUUGGCCUUGACAAUGGCCAGUGGAGUCAGACACCAUGCGAGAGAAAGGCCUCUCUGUCUUGCGAGUUUCCUCAUGGCGUGCAGUCUGGAGUGUCACAUGCCUGGAUCGGAAGCAGAUACAUAG